rnacentral:lncRNA from 1 species
UUUAUUAUCAUUUUGUUUGUUUUAUGCUCUCUUUUAUGUUAUUUUCAGAUAUUUAGCUCUUUCGAUCUCUUUCGGAAGAAACGAAGCAAAAAGACCUAAAAUUAGGGGUUUUCGGCGAAUAUUGUACACAUGGCGUUGCACACGGUGGACGCUAUAGGAGAAGCCAUGAAUCAUCAACCCUCAACCAGGAGGUAACCGCCACGUUCCUAUG